AGGGAUUCUGGAAGCAUAUGGAACAGUUACAAGAUUUCUCUAUGUUUGACAAGGAAGUGUAAGAUGUGGCAAAGAAAGGGAUUCAAUUAAAAGUUGGCAAUGGGGCUUCCACUAGAUUUUGGCUUGAUAACUGGACCGAAGGUGACACUCUGAAGAAGCUCUUUCCUAGGCUCUUUUUUUUUAUCUCUAUGCAGCAGAAUGACUUCAUUGGAGAGAUGGGGAUAUGGGAGAACAAUAAAUGGGUGUGGAAGUUUAUGUGGAGAAGAAGGUUGUUUGCCUGGGAGGAAGAAUUGGUGAAGAGCCUAUAUUUAGCCGUGGAUCACACUUCCCUCAGUGAGAGUGAGAGCGAUAAGAGAGUUUAUGCCUUCGAUAAUUCUAAGCCUUUCUCUGUUUCUGACUUUUAUUUGCAGGUUACCUGUUUGAGCAGGAUUGUGAGCAAUCGGGUUGGUCAUAGAAGACUAGCAUAGAGGAAAGUUGCUCCACCAUGUGCACAACUCCUAUUGUGGUUUAUUCUCCAGGGACGGCUCAACACGAAGGAGAGCUUAUUCAGAUUUAGGCCCCCUGGGAUUGAAGACAACUUAUGUGUCUUUUGCAAAGAAGAGCUAGAGAUUGUUGAUCAUGUCAUUUUCGAGUGCGAGUGUUCUAGUAGGUUGUGGUAUUUCUGCUGCGGCUGUUGGAAUUUAUUUCUGUAUUUUCCCAAAGACCCGGUCUCGUGCUUUCUCAGCUGGAUGGACGCUCCUUUCAUUAAAUUUGAUAAAAAAAACUGUGGUGCUCCCUCUUCUAUGUGACAGCGUGGUCCAUUUGGUAGCUUAGGAACAAAAUUAGUUUCGAUAAGAUUGUCCCAAGUUGGGAAACUGAGAAGAGACUCUUACCGUGGAGGCUAGGUUCGUAGGCUAAAGGAUGGUGUCCAGAGUUUUCAUUUUUACCGGAGCAAAUUUAUGAGGAGUUGAGCCGGGUUAGAAGAUGGACUGACAUCAAGCAUAAGGCUAAAGUUGCAAUCAAAGACCACUAAAGAGAUUUAAUAUGCCUAAGCGAGGACGUCCGCGCUCACAACCAUCCCAAGCUGCAGAGAAGCAGCUUAGAGACGAGAUAGACGACGCAGUGGACGACAUUAUACCAGUUGUGUUGGCAAAAAAAUUCAGAGAGAGAUUGGCUGAUGUAGGCCCAAGUACGUCUAGAAGUGAGGGUGAGCCGAAUCAACCUACAGGUCGAAAAGGUGAUCAACUCUACUGUCGGCGAACGCCGUCAGAAUUCCUUAACUGAUCGACUCUAUUGGAGAGAGAGACCUCCCAAGUUCAACUUUGAACAGUGGGUCGAGAAUUAUGGUCUGGCAUGAGUCUUGGUUCGGCUAUAGGGUCAACUUGGUUAAUGGGUUAACUGAUAUUCAGAUAGAUGUUUCAAUUUAAAACUGUACUUUUUCGCAACUUAAUAAGUGCGUUCGGAUAUUAGCUACUGAUUUUGAGACUCUGCAUAAAUUGUCGUUAUUCAGCAUUAAAG